GGCAAGGUGGUCGAGUGGUUAAGACGUAAGACUGUAUGUAUUACCGGCGUCCUUCAGCCAUCAAAUUAAUGCUAAUAAUUCCUCCCAAGUGAAUCCAUCAAUUGGAAGACAUCUUAUCCCUUAGGGGUCGCGCGUUCAAAUCGCGUCCUUGUCG